rnacentral:rRNA from 1 species
UCAGCUCGUGUCGUGAGAUGUUGGGUUAAGUCCCGCAACGAGCGCAACCCCUACUUGUUAGUUGCCAUCAUUCAGUUGGGCACUCUAGCGAGACUGCCGGUAAUAAACCGGAGGAAGGUGGGGAUGACGUCAAAUCAUCAUGCCCCUUAUGACCUGGGCUACACACGUGCUACAAUGGUUGGUACAACGAGUUGCGAGUCGGUGACGGCGAGCUAAUCUCUUAAAGCCAAUCUCAGUUCGGAUUGUAGGCUGCAACUCGCCUACAUGAAGUCGGAAUCGCUAGUAAUCGCGGAUCAGCACGCCGCGGUGAAUACGUUCCCGGGCCUU